rnacentral:rRNA from 1 species
AGUUGGAAACGACUGCUAAUACCGCAUAAUGUCUACGGACCAAACGGGGCUUAGGCUCCGGCGCAAAGAGAGGCCCAAGUGAGAUUAGCUAGUUGGUAAGGUAAAGGCUUACCAAGGCAACGAUCUCUAGCUGUUCUGAGAGGAAGAUCAGCCACACUGGGACUGAGACACGGUCCAGACUCCUACGGGAGGCAGCAGUGGGGAAUAUUGCACAAUGGGGGAAACCCUGAUGCAGCCAUGCCGCGUGUGUGAAGAAGGCCUUCGGGUUGUAAAGCACUUUCAGUUGUGAGGAAAAGUUAGUAGUUAAUACCUGCUAGCCGUGACGUUAACAACAGAAGAAGCACCGGCUAACUCCGUGCCAGCAGCCGCGGUAAUACGGAGGGUGCGAGCGUUAAUCGGAAUUACUGGGCGUAAAGCGCACGCAGGCGGUUUGUUAAGCUAGAUGUGAAAGCCCCGGGCUCAACCUGGGAUGGUCAUUUAGAACUGGCAGACUAGAGUCUUGGAGAGGGGAGUGGAAUUCCAGGUGUAGCGGUGAAAUGCGUAGAUAUCUGGAGGAACAUCAGUGGCGAAGGCGACUCCCUGGCCAAAGACUGACGCUCAUGUGCGAAAGUGUGGGUAGCGAACAGGAUUAGAUACCCUGGUAGUCCACACCGUAAACGCUGUCUACUAGCUGUUUGUGACUUUAAGUCGUGAGUAGCGAAGCUAACGCGAUAAGUAGACCGCCUGGGGAGUACGGCCGCAAGGUUAAAACUCAAAUGAAUUGACGGGGGCCCGCACAAGCGGUGGAGCAUGUGGUUUAAUUCGAUGCAACGCGAAGAACCUUACCUACACUUGACAUGCAGAGAACUUUCUAGAGAUAGAUUGGUGCCUUCGGGAACUCUGACACAGGUGCUGCAUGGCUGUCGUCAGCUCGUGUCGUGAGAUGUUGGGUUAAGUCCCGCAACGAGCGCAACCCUUGUCCUUAGUUGCCAGCCUUAAGUUGGGCACUCUAAGGAGACUGCCGGUGACAAACCGGAGGAAGGUGGGGACGACGUCAAGUCAUCAUGGCCCUUACGUGUAGGGCUACACACGUGCUACAAUGGCAUUUACAGAGGGAAGCGAGACAGUGAUGUGGAGCGGACCCCUUAAAGAAUGUCGUAGUCCGGAUUGGAGUCUGCAACUCGACUCCAUGAAGUCGG